CCUACGGGAGGCAGCAGUGAGGAAUAUUGGUCAAUGGGCGCGAGCCUGAACCAGCCAAGUCGCGUGAGGGAUGACGGUCCUACGGAUUGUAAACCUCUUUUGCCGGGGAGCAAGCGUGCGUUCGUGAACGCGCGUCGAGAGUACCCGGAGAAAAAGCAUCGGCUAACUCCGUGCCAGCAGCCGCGGUAAUACGGAGGAUGCGAGCGUUAUCCGGAUUUAUUGGGUUUAAAGGGUGCGUAGGCGGGAUGCCAAGUCAGCGGUAAAAAUGCGGUGCUCAACGCCGUCGAGCCGUUGAAACUGGUGUUCUUGAGUGGGCGAGAAGUAUGCGGAAUGCGUGGUGUAGCGGUGAAAUGCAUAGAUAUCACGCAGAACUCCGAUUGCGAAGGCAGCAUACCGGCGCCCUACUGACGCUGAGGCACGAAAGCGUGGGUAGCGAACAGGAUUAGAUACCCUGGUAGUC
rnacentral:rRNA from 1 species